GUCUAUGGCCAUACCACCCUGAAUGUGCCAAUCUCGUCAGCUCUCAGAAGCUAAGCAGGGUUGGGCCUGGCUAGUGCUUGGAUGGUAGAGCGACUGGGAAUACCUGAGGCUGUAGGCU
rnacentral:rRNA from 1 species